GACGAACGCUGGCGGCGUGCUUAACACAUGCAAGUCGAACGGAAAGGCCCUGCUUUUGUGGGGUGCUCGAGUGGCGAACGGGUGAGUAACACGUGAGUAGCCUGCCCUUGACUUUGGGAUAACUUCAGGAAACUGGGGCUAAUACCGGAUAGGAGCUCCUGCUGCAUGGUGGGGGUUGGAAAGUUUCGGCGGUUGGGGAUGGACUCGCGGCUUAUCAGCUUGUUGGUGGGGUAGUGGCUUACCAAGGCUUUGACGGGUAGCCGGCCUGAGAGGGUGACCGGCCACAUUGGGACUGAGAUACGGCCCAGACUCCUACGGGAGGCAGCAGUGGGGAAUAUUGCACAAUGGGCGGAAGCCUGAUGCAGCAACGCCGCGUGCGGGAUGACGGCCUUCGGGUUGUAAACCGCUUUCGCCUGUGGCGAAGCGUGAGUGACGGUAAUGGGUAAAGAAGCACCGGCUAACUACGUG
rnacentral:rRNA from 1 species